UACGUAGGAGGCGAGCGUUGUCCGGAUUUACUGGGCGUAAAGCGCGCGCAGGCGGCACUUCAAGUAAGGUGUGAAAUCUCCCUGCUCAACGGGGAGGGUGCACUUUAGACUGAGGAGCUAGAGGACGGUAGAGGGGGGUGGAAUUGCUGGUGUAGCGGUGAAAUGCGCAGAUAUCAGGAGGAACACCGGUGGCGAAGGCGGGUCUCUGGGCCGAUACUGACGCUGAGGAGCGAAAGCGUGGGGAGCGAACAGG
rnacentral:rRNA from 1 species